GUGCCCACUUGGGCAGCACAUAUUCUAAAAUAAAAACAGUACAGAGAAAGCUAGCAUGGCCCCUGCCCAAGGAUGACAUGCAAAUGUAAAGCCAUUUUUAUUUCU
ensembl:snRNA U6 U6 spliceosomal RNA